GAUGAACGCUGGCGGCGUGCCUAAUACAUGCGAGUCGAGCGAACGGACGAGAAGCUUGCUUUUCUGGUGUUAGCGGCGGACGGGUGAGUAACACGUGGAUAACCUACCUAUAAGACUGGGAUAACUUCGGGAAACCGGAGCUAAUACCGGAUAAUAUUUUGAACCGCAUGGUUCAAAAGUGAAAGACGGUCUUGCUGUCACUUAUAGAUGGAUCCGCGCUGCAUUAGCUAGUUGGUAAGGUAACGGCUUACCAAGGCAACGAUGCAUAGCCGACCUGAGAGGGUGAUCGGCCACACUGGAACUGAGACACGGUCCAGACUCCUACGGGAGGCAGCAGUAGGGAAUCUUCCGCAAUGGGCGAAAGCCUGACGGAGCAACGCCGCGUGAGUGAUGAAGGUCUUCGGAUCGUAAAACUCUGUUAUUAGGGAAGAACAUAUGUGUAAGUAACUGUGCACAUCUUGACGGUACCUAAUCAGAAAGCCACGGCUAACUACGUG
rnacentral:rRNA from 1 species